GAUGAACGCUAGCUACAGGCUUAACACAUGCAAGUCGAGGGGAAACGACAUCGAAAGCUUGCUUUUGAUGGGCGUCGACCGGCGCACGGGUGAGUAACGCGUAUCCAACCUGCCCAUCACUUGGGGAUAACCUUGCGAAAGUAAGACUAAUACCCAAUGAUAUCUCUAGAAGACAUCUGAAAGAGAUUAAAGAUUUAUCGGUGAUGGAUGGGGAUGCGUCUGAUUAGCUUGUUGGCGGGGUAACGGCCCACCAAGGCAACGAUCAGUAGGGGUUCUGAGAGGAAGGUCCCCCAAAGUGGAACUGAGACACGGUCCAAACUCCUACGGGAGGCAGCAGUGAGGAAUAUUGGUCAAUGGGCGAGAGCCUGAACCAGCCAAGUAGCGUGCAGGAAGACGGCCCUAUGGGUUGUAAACUGCUUUUAUAAGGGAAUAAAGUGAGAGUCGUGACUCUUUUUGUAUGUACCUUAUGAAUAAGGACCGGCUAAUUCCGUG
rnacentral:rRNA from 1 species